rnacentral:rRNA from 1 species
UACGUAGGGUGCGAGCGUUGUCCGGAAUUACUGGGCGUAAAGAGCUCGUAGGCGGCUUGGUAAGUCGGGUGUGAAACCUCCAGGCUCAACCUGGAGACGCCACUCGAUACUGCCAUGGCUAGAGUCCGGUAGGGGCCCACGGAAUUCCUGGUGUAGCGGUGAAAUGCGCAGAUAUCAGGAGGAACACCGGUGGCGAAGGCGGUGGGCUGGGCCGGUCCUGACACUGAGACGCGAAGGCGUGGGGAGCGAACGGG